AAUCAAUGAACUUGAAAUAAGUAUAUGUUUUGAAAACAUAUAAAAAAAGUAUUUAAACCUUUUAUUGAUUU
rnacentral:tRNA from 1 species